AUACUUACCUGGACGGGGUUUAUGGGCGAUCAAGAAGGCCCAUUGCCUAGGAGGUUGGCCUCCAUUGCACUUAGGAGGGGCAACAUCCUAAGAUCUCCCCAAGUGGGAGAGUCUACGUCAUUAUUUAUUACUGAGGGGGCCUGCGUUCGCGCGGCCCCUGC
rfam:Beta vulgaris subsp. vulgaris Bvchr1.sca001.con0141.1, whole genome shotgun sequence.